UACAGAGGUCUCAAGCGUUGUUCGGAUUCAUUGGGCGUAAAGGGUGCGUAGGCGGGUCUUUAAGUCAGGGGUGAAAUCCUGGAGCUCAACUCCAGAACUGCCUUUGAUACUGAGGAUCUUGAGUUCGGGAGAGGUGAGUGGAACUCCGAGUAUAGAGGUGAAAUUCGUAGAUAUUCGGAAGAACACCAGUGGCGAAGGCGGCUCACUGGCCCGGUACUGACGCUGAGGUGCGAAAGCGUGGGGAGCAAACAGGG
rnacentral:rRNA from 1 species